AGCGAACGCUGGCGGCAGGCCUAACACAUGCAAGUCGAACGAACUCUUCGGAGUUAGUGGCGGACGGGUGAGUAACACGUGGGAACGUGCCUUUAGGUUCGGAAUAACUCAGGGAAACUUGAGCUAAUACCGGAUGUGCCCUUCGGGGGAAAGAUUUAUCGCCUUUAGAGCGGCCCGCGUCUGAUUAGCUAGUUGGUGAGGUAAAGGCUCACCAAGGCGACGAUCAGUAGCUGGUCUGAGAGGAUGAUCAGCCACAUUGGGACUGAGACACGGCCCAAACUCCUACGGGAGGCAGCAGUGGGGAAUCUUGCGCAAUGGGCGAAAGCCUGACGCAGCCAUGCCGCGUGAAUGAUGAAGGUCUUAGGAUUGUAAAAAUCUUUCACCGGGGACGAUAAUGACGGUACCCGGAGAAGAAGCCCCGGCUAACUUCGUG
rnacentral:rRNA from 1 species